UCCUCAAUUAAUAGUGAUAUUGGUUUAUUAGCUUGAAAAUGUAGUUUUAGGUUCUGGGAUCUUUCUUCUUUGAUGAAUAACUUUAUUAAUAGUGAUAUUUAUCAGUUCCUGCCAGCAAGGAAACUAUAGCGGAGGGCUUUUCCAUUAACGUGUGAUUAAACCGAGGGCAGGCAACCAAUCAGGUUUUUUGGGUGUUUGGCAGUUAGGAGUUAAAGAUUGUCAGCUCGUCUAUGCCAUGAGGCAGCAAAACACCCAAAAACCUGGUUUGUGUGGAGCAAUACAAGUAGCAAGUUGCUCGGAUAGUUGACAAGUAAACGCGAGCAGUAAUAUUUACUUCCAUUUUCAUUGAUAAUAAUGAGGGGCUUUGUUCAGGAGGCACUCGACCGAGAGUUUUGAGCUCACAUGAAGCUAAACAAAGGCCUCAACAUUACCAUCCGGCUGCUUGAGCCCAUUAGAGAAAAGUCCACAGAUUUCAUAUGCUGAUUUUUCUAAGUGAGGCUUUUGCCUUCAUGAGAUGGUGCUUACUAUUUAGGGUUUCGUGUGUUUUGCAAGAUUUAUCUUUUAAAUGAAAGAUAGAAAAUUGGCCCUUUUGUGUAGCUUGAUGGUGUUGUUGCUAUUGAAAUCUGCUUAGAUCUAAAGCAUUUCGCUAUUAUUUAUUUGAAAUUCAUUGUUUUCCCACGGUUGUCAAGACCUCUACUUUAAGCUGUUUUUCCGAGUUUUUAAGCAGGAACGGGAAGGGAAUUCCAGAAUCACAAUUAUAGAGUGCCCAUUUCAUUGGGUCAACGAUUUCAAUGCUGGUUUUAAUUUGGUUGGCAGGAUUUUGAUUUCUUUGUGGCAUGGCGGGCAGGUUUUGCAGAGGAAAGAAAAUAGAACCUCAGAAAAAAAUGGCAGAUUCAGAGGCAGUCCAGCCUAAUUGCCUCAGUCCCAUUCUUCAUUGGCCUCAUCCCCAAUUUUUCAUUGGCCUCAUGAUGACCAAAACUUAGCAGCCAAAAAAUCAGUAUACAUGCUUCUGCGAAAAAAUAUGUUUAAAACGGUAAACUCUGUCCUGAAGCCAAUUGCAGCAUGUUCUGUUUGAGAAUAUUUUCAGAUUUUAACUGUGCAGAAUUGUUCUUGUUUAUGCAGUGCUUCAAAGAGCGAGAAUUUGUUUUGUUUUUGUGGCUCUUUACAGGGGGAAGAGAAGCUGAAACAAGAUAGAUGAAGAGGAAAACCCUGCUUCAUCUCCUUAAAAUGUCAUGGAAUGUUAACCAUUUUUAACAGAUCCUUGAGACCAUUGGUAUAGUAAUUAGGUGGAGUUUUGCUUUAUAUAUGAAAAAUAGAUGUAUCUAUGAUUGUCCAUAUCUUUCAAUAUUUAAAGCUUGGUUGCAGGGAUUGCACUUCAUCAUCGUGAAAAGCCAAAUUUUGUGAAAAAGAAAAGACUGCUAUUUUCCAUGAACUCUAUUAAAUUUUGAUUUUUUUGUUCUUACAAAAAUUAGGGUUUUUAGGUUUUUCUUGAUUUCUGUGAGAUUUGUUUUUUAAAGAAGUUCCUAAUUCUAACCCCAUUUCUUCUCAACUUUUGUUUCAUUCAAUUGAGAUUUUUUUUCGUCUUGUUCAUUUCCUAUUUUGUUAACAAAAGAAAUUUUGAACUAAGAUUCAAAACUAAACAUUAUUCAUUAGUUUUGAUUUUUUUUUUUUCAAAAAAUUCUUGGAGGCCGUGUGUGGCAUCAAUUCUCGUAAUGGUUGGGCAGUCAGAACGGAAGGGCUUGUAUUUUGUUUCUUCAGAGUUCUUUGAACGCUAGAUUUCUCCCACCGAUACAUCUGGAGCAGUCAACAAUUAUGAGUACUUAGGAUGAGUCUAGGACAUAUCCUUGUGGUUAGACGACACAAAACUCCUAACUCAAACUAGCUAUUUGGGGCUACCUGCAUCCCUUUUAUCUUGAGAAGAUAAUUACAUUUAUAUUACUAUUUUUUGCAUCAAGAUCCCAACACUUCAAUGAUCGCCAUCAUUUUCCUCCACUUUUACUUAUCUGGUGACAAUGUGACGGAUCUGAGGUGAAUAGUGCAGGAAGCUUCAUAGAGUUUUGAGGAAGCUUAUUUGGUUUCAAUGGAAGGAAGCACUACAAGAAGCAUCUACAAUGGAGAGGAUUUUUAGGAUUGUAAGGUGUGUAUCAACUAAAACAUGUACCAAACUCUCAAAUUUUUAUAUUGAUUUCUUUAUGAAUCUUUAUGGGCCUUUAGUCAUACCCCAUUGCAGUAGGAAGGCGUGUAAUUAACAUUGAAGUACUGCUAUCAUGAGAUUUUGCUACUGAAAGGCAACCAGUACUACAGAGGAAUUGCAGAGGUUUGAAUCUAAAUUGGGGCAUACGUAUCCAGAUCUGAUUUUGGCAUCUCUUGUGGCUUUUUUGGAAGCGAGCCCCAUAUUCUCCCUCCUUCACAGGGCGCAUAUCCGGAUGCAGGAUCUAGUAGAUCAGACUGGAAUUGAUAACUUCAUGGUACAGACUCAUGAUGGAACCCCAAAAUGAAUGGGGCUGGUGCAAACAAAAGGGAUAUUUUAUCUAAUGAAAUAUUUGAUUUUCUUAUAAAUUCUCCUUCAACUAGAAACACAUGGCAAUUUGAAGAAAUAUUAACGUCAUAUUUUGAUGUACAUUGCAAAUGAAUUUGAACAGCUUGGAGAAAAUUCCAUACUGGUUGUAUCUCUGGCAGUUUGCAAAGCUGGGGCUCAUGCGAAUAAAAUUCCUCUUUAUCAGGUACUUUUUUGUUAAUAGUUUUCUGCUUGCAAGUACCAUCUUCAAACUUUGGCAUGGUAACAAAGUCACCUUUUGAAACUUGUAUUACAUUGUGGCUUGUGUAAAAGGCCCAAUUGUUUUUGGUUGAACAUUAUGUUUUUGAGAUAUAAAUGGAAGAAAGUCUUUUGCUCAGACAUAUCAUACAAUUGUUUGGUUUUUCUGAUUAUCCUUGUUAAGAUCUUAGUAGGGAAAAUACAUCCCUCUUGGUUGAGGGGUGUUUUGAUUGAUGAUUAUUUCCUUUCUUUAAACAUGUAAAUGAAAAGUAGAAAGAAAACAUGGCAUAAUAUGUCAUGAGUAUUUUGUUGGUCUAUUGGGAGUAAUUAUCCUGAAAUCUAGUGAUCAUGAUAUGCAACACAUUGCCAAUGUUGCUGGAAACAAAAACUUAGAGAUGCAUGUACCUACCUGUAAUGUCAUCAACGAAGGCUCACAUGCAGACAACAAACUUGCAAUGCAGGUAAGUUUUUGAAUUAAAUAAUUUAUUAUGAGCAUUCCUCUCAAAAUUCAUGUUGCUGAUAUGUUUGUGAGCUUUUGUGAAUUUCACAUUAUAUCGUGUCUUAUGAAAUUGUUUCCAUCAUGAAUGUGGCUUAAACCUUAUUGUUUCUAAAUAUAGCAUGUUGUUCUUUGAAUGUAGAUAAGAUGCAUUGAAUAUUUAGCUAUUUUUUUCGAAUUGCAUAUAACAUUUGUAAUGCAGGAGUUCAUGAUAUGAUAUUUCCUGUAGGUGCUUAAUCAUUUAAAGAGGCCAUGAAGAUGGGUUCAAAUAUUUUACACCAUUUGAAGGUAUAGCAUGUUGUUUGGCUUUAAUGUUUCAUGUGUUUUUCAUAGCCUAAAUGUUGAGCAUGAGAUAUAGUCACAUUAGCUAGAUAUAGUCAGACAACACUGUGCAAUUAGGAUUGGCAGGGUGUCGUUGGCAUGGAUGUUGUUGCAUCUGAGUUUUAUAGUAAGAUAAAACAUAUGUUUUGAACUUCAAGGAGGAGGUAGCUAUCUAACUUGCUUCACUAAUGACAAUGCAUUUUUUUGGGCAAAUAAUUUCAUUGAAUUAGGAAAUGGCAUUCAAUACUAUAAUAUAAUCUUGUGUACGUUAGGACUAGACACAAUCAUUAAUAUUUGUUGCUAUGUUUACAAUAUUUAAAAGGAGGUCUGCACUUGCAUAAACUGUGGCUGUAAAUGUGAUUUCAAGGCAUUCUUAGUGCUCUUCCAAUGCAGCCAAUAUAUAUGCCCAAGAGGAUCAUUUCUUUUGGCAAACAAUUUUUUUAACAUUCACUAGUAUAUGAUAACCCUUUUUAGGUCAUAAGAUGAACAAACAAAAAGCCUUUUUUGGUAAACAUUACUAUGAUGGUGCAUUCAAAUCCCCACACUACUCAAGCUAAGAUAAAUUUUCUAUUUUUCUAUGUAAUUAUUAUGUUUGAGUUUUCAGGGCCAAAUAAAGACUGGAGCUCCAUGUCGAUCUGAGCUACUUGUCAAAUAUAAACAGCUUUUAUGAAUUGAGGAGGAAUUGGGGCCAGCCACGGUUUAUGCAGGUGCAAAUUUCCGUAAACCUGUAGAGCCAUACUAAAACAAGGAAUGCAAUAUGCAAUCAACAUCCCUAAAAGUUUUGUUGUUGAGCAAUAGAAGAAUGUCUCACAAUACUUUUAUAUGUCAAGCAAGAAUUCGUUACCCAAAAUUUUGCCCACAACCUUUAAAGUGGGUCUCUCUAGCAUUGCUACUUAACUAUUUUCCAAAUUAGUUUACCUGUAUUUGAAAUUUGUUGUGAACACAAAAAUCAAAACUCUUUCUUUCUACUACCAAACUUGGGUUUUGUCUCUACAGUUUUAUUGCUAUUCGAUAACAACCUUGUAUUGUUUGGUGACAGUUUUAUUACUGUUCACUGAAUAGCCUUGUGUUUUGAUGUAUGUAAUGUAGUUUUUGUUGAACUUAAGUAAAAUAUUUGUUUCCACAA